GUUCAGCUAGAGAAUUCCUUCUCCCUGUGAAGUUUUACCCCCUGCUCCUCUGGCCACGCUCCCAGUGGAUCCCUGUGGUGCCAGCAGGAAUGGGCUGCUCCGGGGACCCAGCAAGCUCCCAGGGCCUUUCUGCUUCUUCCUUCACCCCUGUAUUUCGGUAGGCUCUCUGACUUGACUCAGCUCCAGACUAUAGCCACUGAACCUAAAAGGAGAAAGAACAUUUUUUUCCUCCCCUACACUAGUCACAACAAGGAAAACAAAAAUUAAAACCGCAAAACAUCAUUUUUCCUU
rnacentral:lncRNA from 1 species